UCCGGGCCGAGGCGACUGGAAGAAGCCGUAGUACGCAGGAGCAAGGGCCGAGAGGCGAGCGCCGAACGCUAUCAGGAGUGGCUAGCCGAUUGUCGAGCUCGGGAAACUGCGUGUUUACGUAGGUCCCAUAGCUAGUGCUGAACAUUUUGCAAGUGCUUCAUGAAUAUUUAUUGCAUGAAUAAUUGAACGUGGCCUUGUGGAACUGGAAUGCAGAGCUCAUGAAAGAGAACAGCAGAAGACAAUGGUGAAAGGCAACUGGCACAUUGUGAGCUGCCCUAUGGAGUGGAUUACAUGGCAAGGAACUGAGGGAGGCCUCUGGGCAACAUCCAUUAAAGAACUGAGGCCCUUAGUCCAACAACCUGGAGGAACUGAAACCUCCAGCAACCUGUGAGUGACUCUGGCAAAUUCUCCUCCAUCAACA